rnacentral:rRNA from 1 species
GUGGGGAAUAUUGGACAAUGGGCGCAAGCCUGAUCCAGCCAUGCCGCGUGAGUGAUGAAGGCCCUAGGGUUGUAAAGCUCUUUCACCGGAGAAGAUAAUGACGGUAUCCGGAGAAGAAGCCCCGGCUAACUUCGUGCCAGCAGCCGCGGUAAUACGAAGGGGGCUAGCGUUGUUCGGAAUUACUGGGCGUAAAGCGCACGUAGGCGGACAUUUAAGUCAGGGGUGACAUCCCGGAGCUCAACUCCGGAACUGCCUUUGAUACUGGGUGUCUGGAGUAUGGAAGAGGUGAGUGGAAUUCCGAGUGGAGAGGUGAAAUUCGUAGAUAUUCGGAGGAACACCAGUGGCGAAGGCGGCUCACUGGUCCAUUACUGACGCUGAGGUGCGAAAGCGUGGGGAGCAAACAGGAUUAGAAACCCGAGUAGUCC